rnacentral:rRNA from 1 species
AUUGAACGCUGGCGGCAGGCCUAACACAUGCAAGUCGAGCGAGCGGCGGACGGGUGAGUAAUGUAUGGGGAUCUGCCCGAUAGAGGGGGAUCACUACUGGACACGGUGGCUAAUACCGCAUACUAUCCGAUGACCCCAUCUGGGAUUCGCUAGUAGGGGGGGUAAAGGCUCACCUAGGCGACGACCUCUAGCUGGUCGGAGAGGAUGAUCAGCCACACUGGGACUGAGACACGUGCCAGACUCCGACGGGAGGCAGCAGUGGGGAAUCUUGUGCAAUGGGCGAAAGUCUGACGGAGCAACGCCGCGUGUGUUAAGAAGGUUUUCGGGUCGUAAAGCACUGUUGUUGGGGAAGCGGUAUCUGACCAGGAAGCAACGGCUAACUCCGUGCCAGCAGCCGCGGUAAUUC